GCCGGAAUAGCUCAGUUGCGAGAGCAUAAGACUGAAGUUGUUUACGCAACAGUCAUUUAAAGGCCCCCGGUUCAAUCCCGGGUUCCGGCA
rnacentral:tRNA from 1 species